rnacentral:rRNA from 1 species
AUUGAACGCUGGCGGCAUGCCUUACACAUGCAAGUCGAACGGUAACAGGUCUUCGGAUGCUGACGAGUGGCGAACGGGUGAGUAAUACAUCGGAACGUGCCUAGUAGUGGGGGAUAACUACUCGAAAGAGUGGCUAAUACCGCAUGAGAUCUACGGAUGAAAGCAGGGGAUCGCAAGACCUUGUGCUACUAGAGCGGCCGAUGGCAGAUUAGGUAGUUGGUGGGAUAAAAGCUUACCAAGCCGACGAUCUGUAGCUGGUCUGAGAGGACGAUCAGCCGCACUGGGACUGGGACACGGCCCAGACUCCGACGGGAGGCAGCAGUGGGGAAUUUUGGACAAUGGGCGCAAGCCUGAUCCAGCAAUGCCGCGUGCAGGAUGAAGGCCUUCGGGUUGUAAACUGCUUUUGUACGGAACGAAAAGCCCCGGGUUAAUACCCUGGGGUCAUGACGGUACCGUAAGAAUAAGCGCCGGCUAACUACGUGCCAGCCGCCGCAGUAA